GCAAGUACUCCACCGUGCAUCCCGAAGUCUAUAAUUAGUUCCUUUGUGGCGGCACCUGAUGACAACCCAAGGUCACAACGAACCAUUGGCUCUAGAGGGCAGCGUCUUGGUGUGGGAGGCGCUAGUCACGGGGUCGGUACCUGAUUUGGUAUUUAAGUCCCCGCUACACUGGUGACCCCAGACGCCCAGGAGUGUAAUCCUGGAAGGGAAAUUUG